AACGAACGCUGGCGGCAUGCCUAACACAUGCAAGUCGAACGAGACCUUCGGGUCUAGUGGCGCACGGGUGCGUAACGCGUGGGAACCUGCCCUUAGGUUCGGAAUAACUCCCCGAAAGGGGUGCUAAUACCGGAUAAUGUCUUCGGACCAAAGAUUUAUCGCCUUUGGAUGGGCCCGCGUUGGAUUAGCUGGUUGGUAGGGUAAAAGCCUACCAAGGCGACGAUCCAUAGCUGGUGUGAGAGGAUGAUCAGCCACACUGGGACUGAGACCCGGCCCAGACUCCGACGGGAGGCAGCAGUGGGGAAUAUUGGACAAUGGGCGAAAGCCUGAUCCAGCAAUGCCGCGUGAGUGAUGAAGGCCUUAGGGUUGUAAAGCUCUUUUACCCGGGAUGAUAAUGACAGUACCGGGAGAAUAAGCUCCGGCUAACUCCGUG
rnacentral:rRNA from 1 species